GAUUCCAUAGCGACCAGAAUUGCCAAACAUAGUCUUAACAGAAAAGUCAAACAGAUACUCAUCUUAGGAUGACACGAACCAUGACUAUGUCUACAUGAUCUCUAGAAAGUUGGACUGGCAUAUUUUAGUAUGGCAUGGGACACAGCACCAACAUUUUUAGAACCAUUUCAGCUAGUAAUUUCUAUUGAGGAGCAUACCUUGGGGAUUGCUGCUGCAACUGGUCCUAUGUAGGCUAUUAUGAGGGGAAGCAGCAUUGAGAACAGACUGGAAGAGCUGAGUAGUUCUGGAAUGUCUUCA